AGCGGCGGACGGGUGAGUAACGCGUGGGAAUGUACCCUUCUCUAAGGAAUAGCCACUGGAAACGGUGAGUAAUACCUUAUACGCCCUUCGGGGGAAAGAUUUAUCGGAGAAGGAUCAGCCCGCGUUGGAUUAGAUAGUUGGUGGGGUAAUGGCCUACCAAGUCUACGAUCCAUAGCUGGUUUGAGAGGAUGAUCAGCCACACUGGGACUGAGACACGGCCCAGACUCCUACGGGAGGCAGCAGUGGGGAAACUUAGACAAUGGGGGAAACCCUGAUCUAGCCAUGCCGCGUGAGUGAUGAAGGCCUUAGGGUCGUAAAGCUCUUUCGCCAGGGAUGAUAAUGACAGUACCUGGUAAAGAAACCCCGGCUAACUCCGUGCCAGCAGCCGCGGUAAUACGGGGGGGGUUAGCGUUGUUCGGAAUUACUGGGCGUAAAGCGCACGUAGGCGGACUAGUCGGUCAGAGGUGAAAUCCCAGGGCUCAACCCUGGAACUGCCUUUGAUACUGCUAGUCUUGAGUUCGAGAGAGGUGAGUGGAAUUCCGAGUGUAGAGGUGAAAUUCGUAGAUAUUCGGAGGAACACCAGUGGCGAAGGCGGCUCACUGGCUCGAUACUGACGCUGAGGUGCGAAAGUGUGGGGAGCAAACAGGAUUAGAUACCCUGGUAGUCCACACCGUAAACGAUGAAUGCCAGUCGUCGGGCA
rnacentral:rRNA from 1 species